rnacentral:rRNA from 1 species
AGUGAACGCUGGCGGUAGGCCUAACACAUGCAAGUCGAACGGCAGCACAGUAAGAGCUUGCUCUUACGGGUGGCGAGUGGCGGACGGGUGAGGAAUACAUCGGAAUCUACUUUUUCGUGGGGGAUAACGUAGGGAAACUUACGCUAAUACCGCAUACGACCUACGGGUGAAAGCCGGGGAUCUUCGCACCUUGCGCGACUGACUGGCCCGAUGUCGGAUUAGCUAGUUGGCGGGGUAAAGGCCCACCAAGGCGACGAUCCGUAGCUGGUCUGAGAGGAUGAUCAGCCACACUGGAACUGAGACACGGUCCAGACUCCUACGGGAGGCAGCAGUGGGGAAUAUUGGACAAAGGGCGCAAGCCUGAUCCAGCCAUACCGCGUGGGUGAAGAAGGUGUGCGGGUUGUAAAGCCCUUUUGUUGGGAAAGAAAAGCAGCAGGUUAAUACCCCGCUGUUCUGACGGUACCCAAAGAAUAAGCACCGGCUAACUUCGUG